AAUCAAAGAGAGGAGCAGGUGCUGUGCUAGAAUCCCCCUCAGGCUCCAGAGAGCAGUGCUAGAAAUCUUUGCAGCCACAGUGUAUCUUCAGCCCACAGGGAGGAAUUCAUUGUUAAGUGUGUGUUUUGGGAUGAAAAUACCAGGAAUGGAAAACUGUUGGGCUUGUCAAGUAUUUGCCUAUGUAAUUUGUAAGUUUCAAAAAAGAAGAGUGAAGAAGCAGCAUUAAAUGACACAGGAAGAAAAUAGGAUACGCUUUUGUAAGAAUUUUUCAAGGCUGAGCUAUGUGCAAUAGGACUUGCUAGAAAGAGCAAUUGCAUGCUGCCAAGACAUUAAAGAAUAUGCACUGGCAAAGAAAACUGGUAUCCUGGAAUUAUCCAUCAAGCACUGGUGCAUUCCCAUGUUCAUCUGAAUCCUUCUGGAGCUUGUAAAGUAAAUCUGACAAGUUCAGAGUAUUGCUGGCUUCCCCACAAGGACAUCUCUCCAUCUAAAUCACUGUUUUCCUCCUGCUGUGCUCUUUGAAGGGCAGUAUUACAUGCCUACUAUUUGGAUCAUGGCCAUUUUGAAUACAAUCAUGUGAAAAAUACUGCUUUCUUUCACCAAAAAGAAAUAAUCCUGUCCUUAAAUGUAUGGCCAGCUAUACAGCCUUAGUUUUUAAUUUUUUUAAUUUUUAUUCUUACAUGGCCAAUUGUCUUAAUUCUUCUCAGCCACCCCUACUCUAAUACGAGUCUAAACAUUUCACAUCAGCUUUGCUAUUUCAUUUUCUUUUUCCAGCAUGCAGAUUAAUUGAAUUCCUUGGCUAAUGUCAUCACUUUUCUCUCAGAAUCAUCGGAUGAUCUCAGUAUGUCACACCAAGUCAUUAUUAGUAUUCUCUCUGUCAGUACUGUGUAGAGGGUAGCUGAAGUUUUCAGUUACUGCUUGUAAAUACCCAGUCCAAAGAUGCUUUGUCUUCAUUUUGCUUCAUAAG
rnacentral:lncRNA from 7 species